GGACGGGAUUUGGGAGCUUGCUCCUGAUGAGAGUGGCGCACGGGUGCGUAACACGUAUGUAACCUACCUAUAUCAGGGGGAUAGCCUCUCGAAAGAGAGAUUAAGCCCGCAUAAAAUCACACUAUGGCAUCAUAGAAUGAUCAAAUAUUUAUAGGAUAUGGAUGGGCAUGCGGAACAUUAGCUAGUUGGUAAGGUAACGGCUUACCAAGGCUACGAUGUUUAGGGGAUCUGAGAGGAUGACCCCCCACACUGGUACUGAGACACGGACCAGACUCCUACGGGAGGCAGCAGUAAGGAAUAUUGGUCAAUGGACGGAAGUCUGAACCAGCCAUGCCGCGUGCAGGAAGACGGCCCUACGGGUUGUAAACUGCUUUUGUACUGGAAUAAACCUUCCUACGUGUAGGGAGCUGAAUGUACAGUAAGAAUAAGGAUCGGCUAACUCCGUG
rnacentral:rRNA from 1 species